rnacentral:tRNA from 1 species
GGGGAUGUGGCUCAGUAGCAAAGCAUAUGUUUAACAUGCAUGAGCCCCUGGGUUCAAUCCCCAGCACCA